UCGAGGAUAUUUAGCAAUGGGGGAAACCCUGACUAUGUGACGCCGCGUGAGGGAUGAAGGUUUUCGGAUCGUAAACCUCUUUCGAUGGGGAAGAAGUCCUGCAUACUAAUAUUAUGUAGGGUUGACGGUACCUAGAGAAGAAGCCACGGCCAACUCCGUGCCAGCAGCCGCGGUAAUACGGGGGUGGCGAGCGUUACUCGGAGUUAUUGGGUGUAAAGGGCAGGUAGGCGUUUCGUUAAGUUAGAGGUGAAAUACUAAGGCUCAACCUUAGAACUGCCUCUAAUACUGGAGGAAUUGAGGCUGUAAGAAGAAAGCGGAAUUCCCGGUGUAAGGGUGAAAUCUGUAGAUAUCGGGAGGAACACCAGUGGCGAAAGCGGCUUUCUAGUACAGUUCUGACGCUAAUCUGCGAAAGCUCGGGGAGCAAACA
rnacentral:rRNA from 1 species